CCUACGGGAGGCAGCAGUGGGGAAUAUUGGGCAAUGGGCGCAAGCCUGACGCAGCAACGCCGCGUGAAGGAAGAAGGCUUUCGGGUUGUAAACUUCUUUUCUCAGGGACGAAGCAAGUGACGGUACCUGAGGAAUAAGCCACGGCUAACUACGUGCCAGCCACCGAGGUAAUACGUAGGGGGCAAGCGUUAACCGGAUUUACUGGGUGUAAAGGGCGUGUAGGCGGGAAAGCAAGUCAGAUGUGAAAACCCUGGGCUCAACCUGUGGCCUGCAUUUGAAACUGGUUUUCUUGAGUACUGGAGAGGCAGACGGAAUUCCUAGUGUAGCGGUGAAAUGCGUAGAGAUUAGGAGGAACACCAGUGGCGAAGGCGGUCUGCUGGACAGCAACUGACGCUGAGGUGCGAAAGCGUGGGGAGCAAACAGGAUUAGAUACCCCUGUAGUC
rnacentral:rRNA from 1 species